GUUAGGAAUAUUGGACAAUGGGCGAAAGCCUGAUCCAGCCAUGCCGCGUGAACGAUGAAGGCCUUCGGGUUGUAAAGCUCUUUAGUCCACGAAUAUAAUGACUGUAGUGGAAGAAUAAGCCCCGGCUAACUUCGUGCCAGCAGCCGCGGUAAUACGAAGGGGGCGAGCGUUAUUCGGAAUCACUGGGCGUAAAGCGUGCGUAGGCUGUUUUGUAAGUCAGAAGUGAAAGCCCUGGGCUUAACCCUGGAAUUGCUUUUGAAACUACAAGACUCGAAUUCGGGAGAGGAUAGCGGAAUUGUCAGUGUAGCAGUGAAAUGCGUAGAUAUUGACAGGAACACCAGUGGCGCAAGCGGCUAUCUGGACCGAUAUUGACGCUGAGGCACGAAAGCGUGGGGAGCAAACAGGAUUAGAUACCCUGGUAGUCC
rnacentral:rRNA from 1 species